AACGGUCUAUACCUGCGGUACCUGCGGAGGGAUCAUUACCGAGUUUACAACUCCCAAACCCCUGUGAACAUACCACUUGUUGCCUCGGCGGAUCAGCCCGCUCCCGGUAAAACGGGACGGCCCGCCAGAGGACCCCUAAACUCUGUUUCUAUAUGUAACUUCUGAGUAAAACCAUAAAUAAAUCAAAACUUUUAACAACGGAUCUCU
rnacentral:misc_RNA from 1 species